rnacentral:rRNA from 1 species
AGAAUCAACGCUGGCGGCGUGCCUAACACAUGCAAGUCGAACGAGAAAGUGGAGCAAUCCAUGAGUAAAGUGGCGCACGGGUGAGUAACACGUGACUAACCUACCCUUGAGUGGGGGAUAACCUAGAGAAAUCUGGGCUAAUACCGCAUAAUACCUUCGGGUCAAAGGAGCAAUUCGCUUAAGGAGGGGGUCGCGGCCGAUUAGUUAGUUGGCGGGGUAAUGGCCCACCAAGACUAUGAUCGGUAUCCGGCCUGAGAGGGCGCACGGACACACUGGAACUGAAACACGGUCCAGACUCCUACGGGAGGCAGCAGUGGGAAUUUGCGCAAUGGGGGAAACCCUGACGCAGCAACGCCGCGUGGAGGAUGAAGUCCCUUGGGACGUAAACUCCUUUCGAUCGGGACGAUAAUGACGGUACCGAGAGAAGAGCCCCGGCUAACUUCGCGCCAGCAGCCGC